rnacentral:rRNA from 1 species
GUAGUCCACGCCGUAAACGAUGCGCACUAGGUAUGAGAGACUCUGACGUCGAUCGUGCCGAAACAAAAGCGUUAAGUGCGCCGCCUGGGGAGUACGGCCGCAAGGCUAAAACUCAAAGGAAUUGACGGGGGCUCACACAAGCGGUGGAGUAUGUGGAUUAAUUCGAAGCAACGCGCAGAACCUCACCUAGGUUUGACAUGCUAGGAUGCCCUUUGGGAAACCAGAGUAAGCUGCCUUCGGGUGAAACUAGCACAGGUGCUGCAUGGCUGUCGUCAGCUCGUGCUGUGAAGUGUCGGGUUAAGUCCCUUAACGAGCGAAACCCCUAUCGUUAGUUGCCAGCGGGUCAUGCCGGGAACUCUAGCGAGACCGCCGGCGUCAAGCCGGAGGAAGGCGGGGAUGACGUCAAGUCAUCAUGGCCUUUAUGCCUAGGGCGUCACACGUACUACAAUGGGCGAUACAGAGCGAAGCGAGACCGUGAGGUGGAGCAAAUCGCAUAAAGUCGUCCUCAGUUCAGAUCGGAGUCUGCAACCCGACUCCGUGAAGUUGGAAUCGCUAGUAAUCGCGGAUCAGCCACGCCGCGGUGAAUG